CCUACGGGAGGCAGCAGUGGGGGAUAUUGCACAAUGGGGGAAACCCUGAUGCAGCGACGCCGCGUGUGGGAAGACGGUCCUCUGGAUUGUAAACCACUGUCCCCAGGGACGAAGAUGACGGUACCUGGGGAGGAAGCUCCGGCUAACUACGUGCCAGCAGCCGCGGUAAUACGUAGGGAGCGAGCGUUGUCCGGAAUUACUGGGUGUAAGGGGAGCGUAGGCGGGACUGCAAGUUGGGUGUAAAAUCUACCGGCUCAACCGGUAGCCGCACUCAAAACUGCAGUUCUUGAGUGAAGUAGAGGCAGGCGGAAUUCGUAGUGUAGCGGUGAAAUGCGUAGAUAUUAGGCGGAACACCAGUGGCGAAGGCGGCCUGCUGGGCUUUUACUGACGCUGAGGCUCGAAAGUGUGGGGAGCAAACAGGAUUAGAUACCCUUGUAGUC
rnacentral:rRNA from 1 species